GAAAUAAAAGACCUGGACUGUAAAG
rnacentral:piRNA from 1 species